rnacentral:rRNA from 1 species
GUACACGCUGUGACUAGCAUAUCAAUAAGCGGAGGAAAAGAAACUAACAAGGAUUCCCCUAGUAACGGCGAGUGAAGCGGGAAGAGCUCAAAUUUGAAAUCUUAAAGGGUUUCCCUUUACGAAUUGUAGUUUAAAGAAGUGUUUUCUGUUGAGGUUUUGGUAAAAGUUCUUUGGAAUAGGACAUCAUAGAGGGUGAGAAUCCCGUAUUUGACCUUUACUUUCAACUUUGUGAUACACUUUCAAAGAGUCGGAUUGUUUGGGAAUGCAGUCCAAAAUGGGUGGUAAAUUUCAUCUAAAGCUAAAUAUUGGCGAGAGACCGAUAGCGAACAAGUACCGUGAGGGAAAGAUGAAAAGAACUUUGAAAAGAGAGUUAAACAGUACGUGAAAUUGUCAAAAGGGAAGCGUUUGACACCAGUGUUGUUUUUCUGAAAAUCAAUUAAAGAACUGUUUAUGCUAAGUUGUUUAGACUUUAUCAGCUAACUGUUUAGUUUUGAGCUUUUCUUUAAUGCACUUUUCAGUUAACAAGUCAACAUCAAUUUCUUUUGCUGUAAAAAAGCUUGAGGAAGGUGGCUUGAGAUUCGUCUUAAGUGUUUAUAGCCUCUUGCCUAUGCAGUCGGAGAGAUUGAGGUCUGCAGCGUAGAUCCUUCGGGGCUAAAUGCAUUUGUGCUAAGGUUAUAGCAUUUUAUAGACAACUUGUUGACUAUGAUUUGUCUUGUAGCUUACUCGCUUAUGUUAUUUUACCUACGCUUAGGAUGUUGAGUCGUAGAGCACGCAG